AGUGAACGCUGGCGGUACGCCUAACACAUGCAAGUCGAACGGCAGCACAGUAAGAGCUUGCUCUUACGGGUGGCGAGUGGCGGACGGGUGAGGAAUACAUCGGAAUCUACUUUUUCGUGGGGGAUAACGUAGGGAAACUUACGCUAAUACCGCAUACGACCUACGGGUGAAAGCAGGGGAUCUUCGGACCUUGCGCGAUUGAAUUAGCCGAUGUCGGAUUAGCUAGUUGGCGGGGUAAAGGCCCACCAAGGCGACGAUCCGUAGCUGGUCUGAGAGGAUGAUCAGCCACACUGGAACUGAGACACGGUCCAGACUCCUACGGGAGGCAGCAGUGGGGAAUAUUGGACAAUGGGCGCAAGCCUGAUCCAGCCAUACCGCGUGGGUGAAGAAGGCCUUCGGGUUGUAAAGCCCUUUUGUUGGGAAAGAAAAGCAGCAGGUUAAUACCCCGCUGUUCUGACGGUACCCAAAGAAUAAGCACCGGCUAACUUCGUG
rnacentral:rRNA from 1 species